rnacentral:rRNA from 1 species
AUGUUUGCCCAACUGGAGGUCAGCAAGUAUUUGGUGGAGGAGCUCAAGGGAGAUGUAAAUGCUCCUGGAUAUGGAGCUGGUGCUGAAGGUAUGACUCCAUUUAUAGUGUCUGCUCGGUCUGGUGAUGUUGCUACCGUUAAGUAUUUUCUGGAUCGUGGUGGCGAUUUAAUGAAAGCAGACGACAAAGGACGCACCGUUCUUCACCAUGCUGCCGCUAAAGGACGCUGCAUGGUAACAAAGUUCCUCCUUUCAGAAGGAGUUCCGGUCGACAUAAACUAUGGCCGUGGAACAUCACUCUUUGUGGCUGCUGAAAGUGGGGAGGAUAAGACAUUGGAGAUUUUGUUGGACCAUGGCGCAGAUCCUAAUAUCAGUGUCCAUUGUUUGGGAAGUCCCUUCUUUAUGGCUCUUACUAAGCAUUCAUUCAAAUGCAUGGAGACGCUCGUAAAGGCUGGUGCCGAUGUUAAUUGGAAGACUUUUGGUCUCACUCCUUUGGGGUUUGCUACAGCGCGAGGAGGUUAUACUAACUUCAUUCAGUUCCUCUUGGAUGUUGGAGCAGAUGCUAAUAUUUCUGAUGAUUUGGGUUGGUUGCCAGUACAGCUUGCUGCGGCACGUGAUUGCAAUGAAGAGGUUGAAAUGUUGUUUCCUUUGACUUCCCCAAUUCCAAAUGUCCCAAACUGGACUAUUGAGGGUGUAAUUUCUCAUGCAAAGAUUGAAGCCAAAAAGCCAUUGGAUCAAAACGCUUGCCAAAGAAGAAAAAGUUUCUUAAAGUUAGAAGCUGAUAUAGCAUUCAAGCAGAAGGACUAUAAGCUGGCAUCAGAGUUGUAUGACAUGGCAAUAAGUCAUGGAGAAAGUGCAACACUGUACGCGAACAGGAGUCUUACUAAACUGCUAAUGGGUGAUGGUGAAGGUGCUUUGUCAGAUGCUCUCUGGUGUAGAGUGUUGCGACCUCAUUGGGCAAAAGCUUUCUAUCGUGAAGGUGCAGCUCUCAUGCUACUCGAGGAGUAUGAACAAGCCUAUGAUGCUCUGUUGGAUGCACAAAACUUGGAUCCUGAGAGUGCUGAGAUUGAACGUGAACUACGAAAGAACUACAUAUAG